rnacentral:rRNA from 1 species
UUUUGGACAAUGGGCGCAAGCCUGAUCCAGCAAUGCCGCGUGAGUGAAGAAGGCCUUCGGGUUGUAAAGCUCUUUUGUCAGGGAAGAAACGGUGAGCUCUAAUACAGUUUGCUAAUGACGGUACCUGAAGAAUAAGCACCGGCUAACUACGUGCCAGCAGCCGCGGUAAUACGUAGGGUGCAAGCGUUAAUCGGAAUUACUGGGCGUAAAGCGUGCGCAGGCGGUUAUAUAAGACAGUUGUGAAAUCCCCGAGCUCAACCUGGGAAUUGCAUCUGUGACUGUAUAGCUAGAGUACGGUAGAGGGGGAUGGAAUUCCGCGUGUAGCAGUGAAAUGCGUAGAUAUGCGGAGGAACACCGAUGGCGAAGGCAAUCCCCUGGACCUAUACUGACGCUCAUGCACGAA